UACGUAGGGUGCAAGCGUUUGUCCGGAAUUAUUGGGCGUAAAGAGCUCGUAGGCGGUUUGUCGCGUCUGCUGUGAAAACUCGGGGCUCAACUCCGAGCUUGCAGUGGGUACGGGCAGACUAGAGUGCGGUAGGGGAGACUGGAAUUCCUGGUGUAGCGGUGGAAUGCGCAGAUAUCAGGAGGAACACCGGUGGCGAAGGCGGGGUCUCUGGGCCGUAAACUGACGCUGAGGAGCGAAAGCAUGGGGAGCGAACAGG
rnacentral:rRNA from 1 species